AGCGUAGACGGCACGGCAAGCCAGAUGUGAAAGCCCGGGGCUCAACCCCGGGACUGCAUUUGGAACUGCUGAGCUAGAGUGUCGGAGAGGCAAGUGGAAUUCCCAGUGUAGCGGUGAAAUGCGUAGAUAUUAGGAGGAACACCAGUGGCGAAGGCGGCUUGCUGGACGAUGACUGACGUUGAGGCUGAAAGCUGGGGAGCAAACA
rnacentral:rRNA from 1 species